UCACACAGGUGCUUUUCCGACGAGAUACAAUAACAACUUGUGGCUCAUCCUUAUUGUAGCGAGCAUCACACAGGUGCUUUUCCGACGAGAUACAAUAUCAACUUGUUAACAACAACUUGCACGGCCUCUAACAAGAGUACGGAGAAGAAGAGCAGCGGUCGGUAUUCGAGAUCUGCCGCGUCACAUAAGAAUCACACUCGAACUUUUCUAAAACCGGACAGAAAGAACAACUCGAAAUCUGUCAGACCAUCGGAGAAGUGAACUCGAACGAACCUGAGAGAAAAUGGAGCCUUUGUUUUCGGAAGUAGCAGGGAGCCGAACCGGAGGAAAGAUGAUGAGUUUUCUGCCGUACUUCUCCGCUGAGACCUGGACCCUCCUGGCCCUCCUCAUCACCCUCAUUGUAGUGUACGGGUACUGGCCCUAUGGUGUAUUCACUAAGAUGGGUAUCCCUGGUCCCAAACCCCUACCUUACUUUGGCACAAUGAUGGAGUAUAGAAAGGGCUUCACUAACUUUGACACAGAGUGCUUUCAGAAGUAUGGGAGAAUCUGGGGGUGAGAUCAUUUGACUGUACCGUACUAGGAUGACUCACAACUGUACUAUGCUCUUUCAAUUCAUCACCUGCUGGAGCUGUCAUGUGACCAUGAGGAAUAGUAUUAA